CGCUGGCGGCGUGCUUAACACAUGCAAGUCGAACGAGACGAUUGAAAGCUUGCUUUGAAAGUCGAGUGGCAAACGGGUGAGUAACGCGUAGACAACCUGCCGCAAAGAUGGGGACAACAGUCCGAAAGGACUGCUAAUACCGAAUGUUGUAUCUUUCCCGCAUGGGAGAGAUAUUAAAGAUGGCCUCUACUUGUAAGCUAUCGCUUUGCGAUGGGUCUGCGUCUGAUUAGCUGGUUGGUGGGGUAACGGCCUACCAAGGCGAUGAUCAGUAGCCGGUCUGAGAGGAUGAACGGCCACAUUGGAACUGAGACACGGUCCAGACUCCUACGGGAGGCAGCAGUGGGGAAUCUUCCGCAAUGGGCGAAAGCCUGACGGAGCAACGCCGCGUGAGUGAAAGAAGGGUUUCGGCUCGUAAAGCUCUGUUGACGGGGACGAACGUGCGAGAUGCGAAUAGUUUCUUGCAAUGACGGUACCCGUCGAGGAAGCCACGGCUAACUACGUGCCAGCAGCGGC
rnacentral:rRNA from 1 species